ACUAUUUUGACAGAAAAAAUGUAAUGAUUUUAGAAGUCAUAAAUAUAUAUGAUUAGAAUAUAUAUAUAGUA
rnacentral:tRNA from 1 species